rnacentral:rRNA from 1 species
UUUCGAAUCAUUCACAAUGGGCGAAAGCCUGAUGGUGCGACGCCGCGUGAGGGAUGAAGGCCUUCGGGUUGUAAACCUCUGUCACCGGGGAAGAAACGCUUCAGGUUAAUAUCCUGAAGCCUGACUUAACCCGGAGAGGAAGCAGUGGCUAACUCUGUGCCAGCAGCCGCGGUAAUACAGAGACUGCAAGCGUUAUUCGGAUUCACUGGGCGUAAAGGGUGCGCAGGCGGCCAUAUGUGUGAGGCGUGAAAGCCCGGGGCUUAACCCCGGAAUUGCACCUCAAACUAUAUGGCUAGAGCAUUGGAGAGGGUAGCGGAAUUCACGGUGUAGCAGUGAAAUGCGUAGAUAUCGUGAGGAACACCAGAGGCGAAGGCGGCUACCUGGACAAUUGCUGACGCUCAGGCACGAAAGCGUGGGGAGCAAAAGG